rnacentral:misc_RNA from 1 species
GAUGAAGAACGCAGCGAAAUGCGAUACGUAAUGUGAAUUGCAGAAUUCAGUGAAUCAUCGAGUCUUUGAACGCACAUUGCGCCCCCUGGUAUUCCGGGGGGCAUGCCUGUCCGAGCGUCAUUGCUGCCCUCAAGCACGGCUUGUGUGUUGGGCAUCCGUCCUCCUCCCGGGGGACGGGCCCGAAAGGCAGCGGCGGCACCGCGUCCGGUCCUCGAGCGUAUGGGGCUUCGUCACCCGCUCUUGUAGGCCCGGCCGGCGCUUGCCGACACAUCAAUCUUUUUUCCAGGUUGAGCUCGGAUCAGGUAGGGAUACCCGCUGAACUUAAGCAUAUCAAUAAGCGGAGGA